GCCGCAGCAUCGGCAUCGCAGACGCGCUCCGGCGGCGGGUCCGAGGCCGGCGUGCGCGGAGGCUGGGCGGGCAGCCCGAGCGGUGGCCGCAGCGCAGGACACUUGAAAUAUACAGAAAAGAACAAAAGAAAUUAAGAAUCGCUAGUGAUCUGAUCACCAAGAGGGAAACACGUUCAGCACGCCCCAGCCUCCCUGGUUUGCUACACCGCACUCCUAAAAGGCUCCUCCCCCAGUUCCCAGCUGCCAGCCCCCUGCUGAGCAUCAGGAGGACAAUCAGCGCUUCAAGGUGGCGGGGUCCCCUGCCCUGCAGCCAGUGAAGAGCUUCCCUACCCAGGCGCUCAGCAUCCCAGCGAUGGGCAGUCGUGUACUGGGCAGCUGCUCACGGCCAGUGCUCCUUUGGGCCGGGCUCUGGGCUGCCCAUGGAAGAGCCAGUGACAAACUGGACCAGCAUCGUCCCUGUCUUCGUGGGGUGUCACUUGUUUUCUUUUUUCUUGAUGAUUAUCUAAGGGAAAAGGGAGGCAAAGAGUGAGGAAGGGCCUGGCCUGAGGGCUCCUACAGUGAGCAGGGUGCCCAGGUUGUGCCCCCAAUCGGCCUCUCCCAGGCCCGAGCCCUUUCCACCACUGGACCUACAGCUGGCGCCUUCCUUGGCAUGCACCUGGCCAGGACUGGCAGGUGAGGGUCGAGGAGACAGGCCUGUGUGCCCUACCUUGAUCACCAAGGUCCCUUUCAAAGCUCGAAA
rnacentral:sRNA from 1 species